ACCGGUGUGGCUCAGUGGAUAGAGCAUCAGCCUGCAGACUGAGGGGUCCUGGGUUCGAUUCCAGUCAAGGGUA
rnacentral:tRNA from 1 species